UACAGAGGGUGCAAGCGUUAAUCGGAAUUACUGGGCGUAAAGCGCACGUAGGCGGAUAACUAAGUCGGAUGUGAAAGCCCUGGGCUUAACCUGGGAACUGCACCCGAUACUGGUUAUCUAGAGUAUGGUAGAGGAAAGUGGAACUCCCGGUGUAGCGGUGAAAUGCGUAGAUAUCGGGAAGAACACCAGUGGCGAAGGCGACUUUCUGGACCAAUACUGACGCUCAGGUGCGAAAGCGUGGGGAGCAAACAGG
rnacentral:misc_RNA from 1 species